ensembl:lincRNA
UUUGGAAUGACAUGCCUGUUAGAGUUUGGGUAGGGAAAUUUAUUUACACCUUUUCCAUUUCAUUGGUUUGAUUUCAUGCCAGCCAAGCCCCAGGAAAGACAAUGAAACCACAGAAGUGAAGAGCAGGAUAGAGACCCUGCUGGACAAGCAGUUGGAGUGAGAAUCAAGACAGCUGGACCACAGGACCAGACCCACCAGGAUCCACCUGACAGUGGCCUGGGUUAAUAUCAGAGAUGCACAUGACCUGGGCAAUCUGCAUGUGAUGCCAGCUGAGCCCCAGAAAGACGGUGCAACCACAGAAGUGCCUAGCUGGGUAAAGGCCCUGCUGGACAAGAAAUUGGAGUGAGAAUCAAGACAGCUGGACCACAGGACCAGACCCAUCAGGAUCCACGUGACAGUGGGUAAGACUCUUCCUAUUUCACAAAUCAUUUCACAGUAAAAACAUCUUGAGAACCUGGACAAUAAUGUAUUUUGGCUCCUCCUCU